rnacentral:rRNA from 1 species
AUUGAACGCUGGCGGCAUGCUUUACACAUGCAAGUCGAACGGUAACAGGCCUUCGGGUGCUGACGAGUGGCGAACGGGUGAGUAAUGCAUCGGAACGUGCCCAAUCGUGGGGGAUAACGUAGCGAAAGUUACGCUAAUACCGCAUAAGCCCUGAGGGGGAAAUGGGGGACCGCAAGGCCUCACGCGAAUGGAGCGGCCGAUGUCAGAUUAGCUAGUUGGUGGGGUAAAAGGCCCACCAAGGCGACGAUCUGUAGCGGGUCUGAGAGGAUGAUCCGCCACACUGGGACUGAGACACGGCCCAGACUCCUACGGGAGGCAGCAGUGGGGAAUUUUGGACAAUGGGCGCAAGCCUGAUCCAGCCAUGCCGCGUGCGGGACGAAGGCCUUC